AUCAAAUGGAGAGUUUGAUCCUGGCUCAGGAUGAACGCUGGCGGCAUGCCUAAUACAUGCAAGUCGAACGAAGUUUCGAGGAAGCUUGCUUCCAAAGAGACUUAGUGGCGAACGGGUGAGUAACACGUAGGUAACCUGCCCAUGUGUCCGGGAUAACUGCUGGAAACGGUAGCUAAAACCGGAUAG
rnacentral:rRNA from 1 species